rnacentral:rRNA from 1 species
UACGGAGGGGGCUAGCGUUGUUCGGAAUUACUGGGCGUAAAGCGCACGUAGGCGGCUUUGCAAGUCAGAGGUGAAAGCCCGGGGCUCAACCCCGGAAUUGCCUUUGAGACUGCAUCGCUAGAAUUGUGGAGAGGUAAGUGGAAUUCCGAGUGUAGAGGUGAAAUUCGUAGAUAUUCGGAAGAACACCAGUGGCGAAGGCGACUUACUGGCCCGAUACUGACGCUGAGGCACGAAAGCGUGGGGAGCAAACAGG